CCACCCUUGGACCAGCUUUGCUGGGAGAAAUGCUAGGUAGGCCAGCAUGGUGACCUUGUAAGGCAGCUAGGUGACCUUCUUGCUCAGGGUGUUGACCAAAGGGCACACAGCAAAGUAAGAAGCAUCUGUGCAAGUUCAAUAAGUCUUGGUCCUAGCUCUGCCCAACUGGUGAGCAGAGUUUCCACUCUGGGAAGAACAAGCUGAGGGAUAAGGCCUACAAUCCUGCCACCCUACCUGGAGCUUCACAGGCUUUAUCAGGAAGGGAUCAAACUCAAGACUGCCUGCUUGCAAGGCAGGUGCUUAUGCCGCUGAGCUAAAUCUCCAACCUCCGACAGCUCAAAUCCUGAUGUGGGACCUUCAGCACCUGAAUCAACAGCCACAGGGAAGGGGCAGAAGAGCUUGAGUUUAACAGUCAGGCCUAGCACUACGAACACUACUGACACAGUUAUUUAUUGUUUACUUGGUGUCUAUUGCCUUAAAGUUAGGUUGCCCGUUAGUGAGUGAAAGCAAAACUGACUUCAUCAGCUAGAUUAAAAUACAAGCUAUUUGCAUGUGUUUUAAAUUUAGAGCUAUGGCAUCCAACUAAUUUUACAGUUUUUUGGUGAGAGGAAGUCUUUGGAAUUCAUGGAUUUAAAGUAUUGAGAGAAAAGCACAGAACAAAAUAUAAUUACAAGACUUCUUAUAUCUUUAAGAUUCUUAGAUAUUUAGGAGGAGCCUAGGAGGAAAAAUACUUGGGCUGAAAGACAGUGUGACCUUGGAUUUUUUACUAUUUCUGAAGGUAUCUGCAGCUAUUUUGAAGACAGCAGGAGUCAUUAUGAACAGAACUACCACACCAGGCCAAAGACUCCUCUCCUUCAAAAGGCAAAUCUGCAGAACUGGCUGCCAUCUGGGAACAUGGUGUUGGCAUGAUUCCCAUUACCUGAAAUAGUGGCAAAUUCUAAAUUUUUCAUGCAAAUAAAUAUAGCUUAUGAUGAAUACUUUCA